GGCCUCCCGGUGCUUAUCACAGGCUGUGUUCUUAUACACUGGCUGUAUAGGAAGAGAAGGCAGAGCGAACCUUCCCCAUAUACACCGCAGCCCAGGCCCUCUACACUGUGCCUGGCCUGUAUUGUGAAUGGGGGGACAUGG
ensembl:snoRNA